AAUGUCUACUGCACCACCCUGAUCUAUAAUUUUAGUUACCCAAUCAAAAAAAUCAAUAAGAUUAGUUUGGCGUGAUCUCCCUGAAGUAAACCCAUGUUGUCUCUGAUCUUGAAAUCCAUGUGUUUUUUAGAUGUUCAUCAAUCCUAUCCUUUAACAUGGUUUCCAUCACUUUCCCCACUACUGAAGUAAGGCUUACUGGCCUAUAGUUGCCCGACUCCUCCCUAUUACCUUUCUUGUAAAUGGGCAC
rnacentral:lncRNA from 1 species